UUCACACUUAUUAACGCAUCAUCUUUCGAUAUUCCACGUUUUUCGAAAUUUAUUCCAAAUUUCUAUUUCCAAAUUGUUUUCCAAAUUCUCAUGCAUUAUUUCAUGGAUAAAUUAUGGAUUAUAUGGUAACUUAACUGUUUCUAUUCACACUUCAAAUCACACAAACAAAUCUCGGAAAAACCCAAAAUUUUUAUAUUUCAUAUCAAUAACCCCCUACCCCUAUCUUUUUUCGUUAUUAUAUAUUUUUUUAAUUGUUUCCAUUCGUCAAAAUUGUUGAAUCAUAACCUUUUCCACCUUUUCACAUAUUCCUAAUAAUCUUUUAGGCACAAUUAUUCAAAAUUUUUCGAAAAAAAAAUUUCUUCGUCUUUUUUUUUGAGUUUCUGGAAUUCACUCUGAAUUAUCAUGUCGGGAAAUAUUAACGGAGGUGCAUUUAACUUUACGGAAGACCAUACCAUAUUUUCUAGGGCCAUAUAAACAUCAUCAUCAAGGAAUAAAGGAGAAAGCUGACGAAAACCAACCAACCUUAUCCCAUCUGUUGCAUAGCUGUUAUUCUUAUGUAUAUAUUGUUAGUAAUGCAUAUAGAAUUGUUUUUAAUUUUUGUAAUGUAUAUAGAAAUGUUUUUAAUGUUUGUAAACACGGGGAGACAGGGUUUUUUCUGCUGAGGUUUUUCCCUGAGCUUUUAUAUCAUACGCAAAACAGUAUGGUACCCUGUUGCACUAACCCAGCAAAAUUGAUUAAGUAUUUUUUUAAUAUUCGAUAUAAUAAUAUUCACUUUCGAAAACCAAUUAAAUUUGAAUAUAUCUUUCAUCUUUC